ACGCCUUGAACAACGUCAUCCACAGACGCCGGAAAAGGCGCAACCUGAGAGUUCAUCAUCGAGCUGAGGUGGCUUUAUUAUUGGAGCGAGUACUACCUGUUCGUAUCUGUGUUCCUCGACGAAUGAGGUUGUUAUUGUUGAGUAACUGUCACGCCACAGGUUUCGUUUGAUUGAGUGGACGGCACUGCUAGCUAGUUAGCCACCACCCUUUUCCAUUUACUAGCUAACGUCGUUCUCCCUUUAAGGCUCAAACACUCCGCUCAUUCGACGCCAUGGACCCCGUUGGUCAAGACAUCAACCUGAACUCCCCCAACAAGGGCCUUGGCCCCGCAGGAGGAGUAGACUCUCUAACGGAGGGGGGAGCCAUGGGAGUAGCAGCUGCCAACACGCUGCCCCCAGGGCUCACGGAGGAAGAGGCAGAGGAGCUCUACUCUGAUCUAGCCAAGGUGGAGGAGGAGAUCAACACCCUGAGACAGGUGCUCCUGGCCAAAGAGAAGCAUUCUGCUGAGCUAAAGAGGAAGCUGGGGCUGAGCCCCCUCAACGAGCUCAAACAGAACCUCACCAAGGGGUGGCAGGAUGUCCAGACCUCCAAUGCGUAUAAGAAGACUUCUGAGACCCUGUCUGUGGCUGGACAGAAGACCACCGCUGCCUUCUCCACCAUGGGCACUGUCCUCAGCAGGAAACUGGGAGACAUGAGGUACAGACCAAGACACAAAAUGGCUGCCGCCGGCCCUUCCUGUAGAACAGGGGUGGAAAACCAUAGAAAUAGAAUGACUAGAUUUUAUUUAUUUAAUUAUUAUUAUUAUUAUUAUUAUUAUUUAUUUUUUAAAGCCCCUCGGAUAACAAAUGUUUUCACUGUUACAGAACAGUGACUUGGGUAUGUUAAUUGUAGUAUCUAUAUAGACCAACCCUCUAGGGCUGUAGCAAAUCUACUAAUCAGCUGUACCUCAGGAGCUUGAUUAGCUGAAUCGGGAAUUACAGCAGGACUGGAGCAAAUACCUAUGUACUACCCAGUAGUUAUCCAGGAAGAGGGUUGAUGCCACAGAUACCUUAAAGGUAAGGGAGUGGAUCAGAACAACAGUCAGUAUCUGGUGUUGCCACCAUUUGCGUCAUGCAGCGCGAAACAUCUCCUUCACAUAGAGUUGAUCAGGCUGUUGAUUGUAGACUGUGGAAUGUUCCACUCUUCGAUGGCUAAGUUGCUGGAUAUUGGCGGGAACUGGAACGCUGUCGUACACGUUGAUCCAGAGCAUCCCAAACAUGCUCAAUGGGUGACAUGUCUGGUGAGUACGCAGACCAUGGAAGAACGGGGACAUUUUCAGCUUCCAGUAAUUGUGUCCAGAUCCAUGUGACAUGGGGCUGUGCAUUAUCAUGCUGAAACAUGAGAUGAUGGUGGUGGAAGAAUGGCACCACAAUGGGCCUCAGGAUCUCUUCACGGUAACUCUGUGCAUUCAAAUUUCCUUUGAUAAAAUGCAAUUGUGUUCGUUGUCUGUAGCUUAUGCCUGCCCAUACCAUAACCCCACCACCACCACGGGGCCCUUUGUUCACAACGUUGAAAUCAGCAAACUGCUCGCCCACAUGACGCCAUACAUGUGGUUGCGGCCGGUUAGACGUACUGCCAAAUUCUCUAAAACGACGUUGGCUUAUGGUAGAGAAAUUAACAUUCAAUUCUCUGGCAACAGCUCGGUGGAUAUUACUGCAGUCAGUAUGCCAAUUUCACGCUCCUUCAAAACUUGAGACAUCUGUGGCAUUGUGUUGUGACAAAACGGCACAUUUUAGAGUGGCCUUUUAUUGUCCCCAGCACAAGGUAAAGUGUAAAGAUCAUGCUGUUUAAUCAGCUUCUUGAUAUGCCACACCUGUCAGGUGGAUAGAUUAAUCUUGGCAAAGGAGAAAUGCUCAUGUAAACAAAUUUGUGGAUCAAAAAUUUGAGAAGCUUUUUGUGUGACUAGAACUUGUCUGGGCUCUUUAUUUCAGCUCAUGAAACAUGGGACCAACACUUUCACAUGUUGAGUUUAUAUUUGUGUUCAGUGGAGAUACUAGCUGUGGUGAUGGCAUGUGGACCAUACUUUUGUACAGCUAUGUUGAAGAUGCCUUUAUGGUUCAAAGCAACGCUGUCAUUCAUGUUAUACAUAUGUUAAAUAAGCCCAUCUGUCCAUUCAUCACCUACACUUUAAUCACCCUCCUAAUUACAUACUAACUCUACUAUCUAAGGGACCUGGGAAUAUGCUUGUUCAUUAACAUUUUAAGUCUACUUCAGUGUGCGUGUUGGCAUCCUCCCCUGUUCGAGCCGUGGUUUCCCAGCUCCGUUGCGCCCCCGGUUCGAGCCGUGGUUUCCCAGCUCCGUUACCCCCCCCCCCCCCCCCCCCCGGUUCGAGCCGUGGUUUCCCAGCUCCGUUACCCCGCCCCCCCCCCCCGGUUCGAGCCGUCUAACACCCCCUACAGUGGGGCUUCAUGACAUGUGUCCCUGUUCGAUGCCAUCUAACACAUGUAGCCACCAUGGCUGACCUGCGUAAAAUUCUUUGUCCCUUAAAAUCAUGUCAACAUAUGGUUGUCCCAAAUGGCUCCCUUUUUCUCCUAUCUAGUGCACUACUUUAGACCAGAGUCCUAUGGGACCCUAUUCCCUAUAUAGUGCACUACUUUAGACCUGAACCCUAUGGUCAAAAGUGAUGCCCUAAAUAGUGUGCCAUGCCAUCUAGGACACUUCCUCUGCAACCCUGCCCUACAGUAGCUUAUCUAUGCCCCAACCAUAGGCUAACUCUGCUCGACCCACCACUGCUUGUUCCUCACCCUGUUUUCGUGUUUCCUGUUUUUGUUUUUUAAUUGCUGCGAUUGGUCUACAGAGCGCUGCCUUUCUCAAACUCCUUUGGGUAAGAGUACUCUGCUGCUGCUGGGAGCCGAAACAUCCCAAUUAAGCUACUUGAUCGACUUCUAUAGCAGAUCUGUACAGUAAAUACUGCUAGUCUGUAUACUGAUCUGCUGCAGGAGUUAAUUCAUUUGAACUUUUAUUGAAUGCUAAUUUGUCAUCCCUCUUGCUGUUAUGAUCAUGAAUAUCCUAUUGAUCAGUUUCCCUGUAUAUGAGUAUGCCUGUUAAUCUGAUUUGUUUGACUGAAGUGGUCACCAGUCUCCUCAACUUGCACAGACUUUGUCUGCAGACAUUCUUUAACUGGGUUCGUUGUCUGCUCUUGAAUCUUUCUGUCCCUUUUAAAGAUAGUUAGAAGAAGCAACAUUGUAUCUGUCUCCAUUAGGGCAUCUGAGAGCAUGGGGACAGUGACAUUGAGGACAUCUCCAUUUUGAAGUAGUCCAUUUACUUCUACGAUCUCUGAGUUGGUAAACAAGCUCAAAGGGUGCAUACUGCCACCUGGAGGGUGUUUGAACAGGUAUGAAGCCAAGGCUGGUGGUUUACUGCCACCUGCAAUUAUGAAAUGUUGUCUGAUCCCUCCUGACGACCUAGUUGGCAUCAUGUGAUCAUUAACCCUAGAUGACUACUUCAAAAUGGUGAAAGUCAUCAAUGGCGCUACCCAAUGCUAAAACAAGCUUUUGGGGUUCUAGAGUCCUCUCUCUGCUUGGCUCCUAACACUCACACUUCCUUGUCUCCUUCCCUUUAAUGCUUACAAAGUAGCAACUACUCCAUCCGCCAAUCGAUAAGUAUGCCAACGAUGAGAAACUCUCCGACCUUCAAGUCGUUCGAGGACAAAGUUGGGAACAUCAAGUUGGGCUGAUUUUGUGUCCCUUCGCUGCAGCACAGUACAUGGUGGUUGGACCCAGACGUAACGGAGAAGCUGUCCAGUCCCCGACCGAAACUAACCCCGUUCAGGACAACGCACCCUUCUGAAGCUCCUCCUUCCGCGCUUAUCACCGGGACUGUGACGACAUCAUCGCUGAGUGACCCUUGACCUGUGACAUCACCCUCCACACCAUAUGCCAUUACUCACUACUGCCUCCCUCCUCAGUUACCUAUAGCCCAGUCCUAAAUGGGCCCUUGGCUCCUAGGCCCUUGUGGAGAUCUGAUUAGGACUGGAUAGGUGUAAGCAAUACGGCAACAAUUCCAUGUAUCCUAUGAGAAGGUGGAGCCACUCACCAUAUUGUUUAAACCGAUCUGAGUUGUUGCCAGAUUUGUCCUCACCGAUCUAGUCAACUUCAUCUCUACACAAGUACCUCGGGAGUUAUGGGCUUAAGGGUCGAUCUAGAAUCUUCCUCAGCCUCCUCGCCUACUAAAAACAUAUGCAUAUCUCAUCUCAGUCGACCGCAAAGGACAACCGGUUACACAACAUCAAAUCACCACCGCUUGUAAAAAAAAAAUAAAAAAAAAUGUUAAACCAUUUUGUAUUUAUAACUAUUUUACACUGCUUUUACAUAACUUUACAUAUAGAUAAAAGUUAUAUAUGAAUAGAUAUAUUGUAAACAAUACUGCAAGUCGGCAUUUAUCAGUAGGUAAGGAGGAUGGAGAGUCUCGAGGAAACACGAGUGCAAAAAAAAAUGUCCAAAAGAGGAGAGGGAAUAUAUGUCUAAAAUAAACAAACACUAUGAAUACAACAACGAUCUCUGUUUUCUACCCUGCUGGGCAUUUUACUUCAGUUUAUUUUCUACACUGAACAGAAUGUGAAGCAAUGCUUUGCUGUAUAGCUACCUGGCGAAUGUAGAAAUUGUCUUUUGGCCUUAUUCUUUCACUCCUAUUACUUUGUUGGUAGAAAGGGUUCUUUCUUUUGGGGAUUUUGUUUUUUAAGUUGUAGAAAAGGGUUUAAAAGAGGAGGGGUUUUAUCACUCUGAGUUGGCUCACUGCUGAUGUGCCACAUCUGAGAUGAUUUACUUUGAAAUUCAGUCCAGACAUUCUGACGUUAUUAUAUGAAGAAUUGUCCCCAUGUCACAGAACUAAUUCCCCACCGUGUGUGUGUGUGUAUAUGUGUAUAUAUAUAUGUACACACUUGUCUCGUGCAUACACUCCCACAGACCCUGACUAACGUCACUGUUAUGAUCACCAACACUUCCUGUUUUAGCCAGUGUGGACUAAUCCAGCCUUUUUAACGCGGAUGAUCAACUAGCUGUCACCGUUAUCCUGCCACAACCUUCAACAGCAGCCGUUGGUUUGGUAGCACCGCCACUUUUUGUUUUUUUUUCAACAUGAAGUACCUACAUUUUUUUUUUUUUUUUGCCUGAUUUUUAGUCUUUCUAUCCAUGGGAUUGGAUGUUCAUUUUGCCUUUAUCCUACUUAAGUAAUUUACUUAAAAAAAUAAAAAAAAUCUGUUCAUUUUUAGUAGUCCUACUUGGGUGACGCAUUUUAGAUUCUUCUCUUGGGUGGAGUAGAAGAGUCAUUUUUGUAUUUAAGUGCCAUCUGUAAAUCGUUUUGAUUUAUUAAACCUGCCUGUUAUAGUUUCUCUCUCUCUCUCUCUCUCUCUCUCUCUCGAGAAUCCUAAAGUUUAGAUUUCAUUAGGAUGCCCAUUUAGUUGUUGCGCAUGCAGCAGCUACUCUUCCUGGGGUCUACAUGAAACUAAAUAUAUGACCGAGUACAGAACCGUUGUAGACGAGAACAGAAGAUAAUAGUACCGAUACUGGUUUCCCAGACCCAGAGAAUCUCCAUUGAGAAUACUUUUUAGUCCAGGACUGGUCUUUAAUCUGUGUUGGCAGACCGGCCCACACAGGCAGCCUAAUUCUGAUGUUUUGGACAAUUAUUGUUAAAAGAUCUGAUCUGAUUGGUCAAAAGACUAAUUAGCGACAAAAGAUCAGAAUUGGCCUUGCCUGAGUAAACGCCGUUUUAAAUACAGUAGGUUUGUAUUGUCUCUGGUUAUGACAUGGCAAAGAGAAAGGCAUUCUGUAACUUGUGUAGAGCUGCAAAUACAUGUUUGGGUCAAAUGUACAUUUUUGCAACGGGAUGAAAGAAUGACUAUGUAAUUGCUUUAUUUAGGCCGUGAGUCUAGUUGUAGACAUUAAAGGGAUCAGAUAAGCGAAUGUUGGCUGAAAAAACAUUUGUUUUUAUGUUUGGAUUUCAAUAAAGCAUUAAUUUAAAUAAAAGA